AGUUCCUUCAACAAGAUAAUUCUUAAGUUUUACCAACAACAAUCAUCGAAGAAGUCUCUUAUUGUUAAUUGCCUGCCUGCUUUGCCUUUGUUGCAUUUUCUUCGAGGAGAUUCAAAGCCAUUUCAAGACGUGGUAUGCGAAAAAUCCGUUGAUGUCACGAACUUGAAAUGGUGGGGAUUGCAGGAGUUACCGUACAGAGAUAUUCGAAGACAUAUCACUGAAAG